GGGCCUAUAGCUUAGUGGUACAGCAUUUGACUGCAGAUCAAGAGGUUACCGGUUUGAACACGGUUGAUCACUUUUAUGUUACUUGUUAUUAUAUAAUAAUAAGAGGUCAACGGUUCGAACCCGGUUGAGCCCU
rfam:Picea glauca, whole genome shotgun sequence.